rnacentral:rRNA from 1 species
AUUGAACGCUGGCGGUAGGCCUAACACAUGCAAGUCGAACGCGAAAAGUCCUUCGGGAUGAGUAGAGUGGCGGACGGGUGAGUAACGCGUAGGAAUCUAUCCUGUAGUGGGGGAUAACGUUUCGAAAGGAACGCUAAUACCGCAUACGCCCCAAGGGGGAAAGCGGGGGAUCUUCGGACCUCGUGCUAUAGGAGGAGCCUGCGUCGGAUUAGCUAGUUGGUGAGGUAAAGGCUCACCAAGGCGACGAUCCGUAGCUGGUCUGAGAGGAUGAUCAGCCACACCGGAACUGAGACACGGUCCGGACUCCUACGGGAGGCAGCAGUGGGGAAUAUUGCGCAAUGGGCGAAAGCCUGACGCAGCCAUACCGCGUGUGUGAAGAAGGCUCGGUUGUAAGCACUUCAGUGUGGAGGAAAAGACGUGGUGGCGUAAUAU